rnacentral:rRNA from 1 species
UGGGGAAUAUUGCACAAUGGGCGAAAGCCUGAUGCAGCAACGCCGCGUGAGUGAUGAAGGCCUUCGGGUUGUAAAGCUCUGUCUUUUGGGACGAUAAUGACGGUACCAAAGGAGGAAGCCACGGCUAACUACGUGCCAGCAGCCGCGGUAAUACGUAGGUGGCGAGCGUUGUCCGGAUUUACUGGGCGUAAAGGAUGCGUAGGCGGAUAUUUAAGUGAGAUGUGAAAUACCCGAGCUUAACUUGGGUGCUGCAUUUCAAACUGGAUAUCUAGAGUGUGGGAGAGGAGAAUGGAAUUCCUAGUGUAGCGGUGAAAUGCGUAGAGAUUAGGAAGAACACCAGUGGCGAAGGCGAUUCUCUGGACCAUAACUGACGCUGAGGCAUGAAAGCGUGGGUAGCAAACAGG